CCUACGGGAGGCAGCAGUGGGGAAUCUUGGACAAUGGGCGCAAGCCUGAUCCAGCCAUGCCGCGUGAGUGAUGAAGGCCCUAGGGUCGUAAAGCUCUUUCGCCUGUGAAGAUAAUGACGGUAGCAGGUAAAGAAACCCCGGCUAACUCCGUGCCAGCAGCCGCGGUAAUACGGAGGGGGUUAGCGUUGUUCGGAAUUACUGGGCGUAAAGCGCGCGUAGGCGGAUUAGUAAGUCAGAGGUGAAAUCCCGGGGCUCAACCCCGGAACUGCCUUUGAUACUGCUAGUCUUGAGUUCGAGAGAGGUAAGUGGAAUUCCGAGUGUAGAGGUGUAAUUCGUAGAUAUUCGGAGGAACACCAGUGGCGAAGGCGGCUUACUGGCUCGAUACUGACGCUGAGGUGCGAAAGUGUGGGGAGCAAACAGGAUUAGAUACCCUGGUAGUCCACACCGUAAACGAUGAAUGCCAGUCGUCGGGUAGCAUGCUAUUCGGUGACACACCUAACGGAUUAAGCAUUCCGCCUGGGGAGUACGGUCGCAAGAUUAAAACUCAAAGGAAUUGACGG
rnacentral:rRNA from 1 species